UACGGGGGGAGCAAGCGUUGUUCGGAUUUACUGGGCGUAAAGGGCGCGUAGGCGGUCAGCACAAGUCAGCUGUGAAAUCCCCGGGCUCAACCUGGGACUUGCAGUUGAAACUGGAAAGCUAGAGUAGGGUAGAGGGGUGUGGAAUUCCAGGUGUAGCGGUGAAAUGCGUAGAUAUCUGGAGGAACAUCAGUGGCGAAGGCGACACCCUGGACUCAUACUGACACUGAGGUGCGAAAGCGUGGGGAGCAAACAGG
rnacentral:rRNA from 1 species